rnacentral:misc_RNA from 1 species
CACUGCUAUAAGACUAUGAAAUCUGAUUACUACGUUGUAUUAAACGACAUUGUCUGUCGUAACAAAGUGUUUUUUAUGGGAUCAGAAAGAACACAGCAUUAGCAAAUCAGAACCGUUCAUUUUUUCUUUGAGACUAAAUCAUGCCGGUCUAUCACCCUGCCAAAUUCGCAAUGCGCUUUCACUCGCAUUCCUUACCCACGCUCCUAGUGCCGCGUAUUCCUCAAACGCCCUAACAUCAAUCCUGCACUCCAUGAACUUUGGAAAAAACAGCCAAAACGCUGUCGUCAUGACGAACCCAACUGUCAAGAUUCCAGACAAUAACCCCGGCAGUUGCCACUUGUCUUUUAUCAUCUUCUUUAGAGCAAUCUCCGCGGUUAAACAGAAUCCAUGUAGAAUAAAGAACGCAGUGAUGUCCCACGUGGGUCUCACGCGCCCCAGGUAGUAGAACAUGAGCUCGUGCAUUACUGCUGACACCACAAAUGUUCCGAAAACAGCUGGGAGCGUUGCCCACUCUCUGCCAAUGACACGCGCGCAGAAGUUGCGUGUGGGUUCGUAUACGGUAGGGUGUAGGAUGCGAGUGACCAUGAGGUUCCAUCUCUUGCCCCAGAAAUCUUGAAGCGAAGUGGAGAGGUAGGGUUCGUUGAACUGUGGUUCGAGCUCUAUGCCGAGCAUGGUUCGAGCCAGGGCUGCACUUAUGGCAAGAGUGAGCUCAAGUAAGAAGUAGACAUGGAACGCAUAGAGAACUAUAAUGAUUUUUGGGUGGAUAUAGUCACUAUAAUCAUAAACACGUACCAAAAUGGCCACUAAUAUACCCUUUAUUGCAUAAUUUAGAGGGCCUUCUCUUGGUUUUCUUGAUGGGGUUUCUUUGGUUUGGCCAUUUUGAUAUGCUUUUGGAGGUGGGUUUUCUUUGUUUUGAUGAUUUAAAGGCGUUUUGGGUGGCGGGUUCUUAUGGAUCUUGAUGGGUAAGCAAGAAACAGCCACAAAAAGAGGGAGAGAAAUUGAUGGAUCUGCAGAAAGAGGACCUUUGCCAAAAGCAAAGAGGAGGAGCUUGAAAUUUGCAAGCCAAGCAAUGAAAAAGGCAGUAGUGCCACCAAGAUGAGGAGAGAAGAUAUUGAGAGGAAGGUAAAGAAAGAGGCAAACAACAGGGAGAACAAAGAGUAGUCUUUUGAUCCCUAUAGGAAUAAUGUUUCUAAUUGCAUAACAAUGACAUAGAGAAAUAAUAACUGCAAGCCAUACCUUAAUGAAGUUCUGCAUUUCAUCACUCUCCAUUAUUUUCUUUUCUUUACUACUCUAAUCUUGUUCUUGAUCUUGGCUCUGUUUGCCAAGUAAUAUAAAGAGAGAAAAAGAUGAGGAAAUUAGAUCCAAAAGACCAGUAAGAGAAUUUCCACAGAAGAAUAUGAUGAUGAUGAUAAAGAAUAAUAUCUUUGUGAGGAAGACGCCAUGGAGAAAGGGGUUUGAAAGGAUGUUUUCUGAGCUACCUCUUUUUGACUUGUGCAUAUAUAUGGUGGAAGAAUUUAG